GAUGAACGCUGGCGGCGUGCCUAAUACAUGCAAGUCGAGCGAACGGACGAGAAGCUUGCUUCUCUGAUGUUAGCGGCGGACGGGUGAGUAACACGUGGAUAACCUACCUAUAAGACUGGGAUAACUUCGGGAAACCGGAGCUAAUACCGGAUGAUAUUUUGAACCGCAUGGUUCAAAAGUGAAAGACGGUCUUGCUGUCACUUAUAGAUGGAUCCGCGCUGCAUUAGCUAGUUGGUAAGGUAACGGCUUACCAAGGCAACGAUGCAUAGCCGACCUGAGAGGGUGAUCGGCCACACUGGAACUGAGACACGGUCCAGACUCCUACGGGAGGCAGCAGUAGGGAAUCUUCCGCAAUGGGCGAAAGCCUGACGGAGCAACCCCGUGUGAGUGAUGAAGGUCUUCGGAUCGUAAAACUCUGUUAUUAGGGAAGAACAUAUGUGUAAGUAACUGUGCACAUCUUGACGGUACCUAAUCAGAAAGCCACGGCUAACUACGUG
rnacentral:rRNA from 1 species